rnacentral:rRNA from 1 species
GGACCCGCACAAGCGGUGGAUGAUGUGGAUUAAUUCGAUGCAACGCGAAGAACCUUACCUACCCUUGACAUGUACGGAAGCCGGAUGAGAGUUCGGUGUGCCCGAAAGGGAGCCGUAACACAGGUGCUGCAUGGCUGUCGUCAGCUCGUGUCGUGAGAUGUUGGGUUAAGUCCCGCAACGAGCGCAACCCUUGUCACUAGUUGCUACGCAAGGGCACUCUAGUGAGACUGCCGGUGACAAACCGGAGGAAGGUGGGGAUGACGUCAAGUCCUCAUGGCCCUUAUGGGUAGGGCUUCACACGUCAUACAAUGGCGCAUACAGAGGGCUGCCAACCCGCGAGGGGGAGCCAAUCCCAGAAAGUGCGUCGUAGUCCGGAUUGCAGUCUGCAACUCGACUGCAUGAAGUCGGAAUCGCUAGUAAUCGCGGAUCAGCAAUGUCGCGGUGAAUACGUUCCCGGGUCUU